rnacentral:lncRNA from 1 species
AGAGAAAAAGGAGGGGGUUCGACGGCUAGGUGAUGUCAAGGGAAGACAAAGGAGAGCUAGCCAUCGAAGAAGAACUCCACAGAAGUGAGCCAAUGGGGAAGGGCUUAUGGGGAGCACAGGAAGCUGAAGGGAGCUGAGGAAGCUCAGCACCAAUAGCAAUAAAGGAAAUAGGAGUUCUCGAGAACACAGACGAACAAAAAGGAGCCAGAGAGGCUGUCCGCCAGAAGAAAAGCUGGUGGGGGAAAAGAGGGACCCAAUCGGAGAAGAAAGGAGAACACCGUCGAAAAAGUCCAACGAAGAGAGAGAAAUAGAGAAAUGGGGUAGGGGGGAGAGAGAACAGAGAGAGGAAGAGAGGGAGGCAAGUGAAAGAGAGGGAGAGAG